CACAUGCAAGUCGAACGAUGAAGCCCAGCUUGCUGGGUGGAUUAGUGGCGAACGGGUGAGUAACACGUGAGUAACCUGCCCCCGACUCUGGGAUAAGCCCGGGAGACUGGGUAUAAUACCGGAUAUUACAUUGAGCGCAUGCUUCAUGGUGCAAAGAUUUAUGGGUGGGCGAUGGACUAGCGGCCUAUCAACUUGUUGGUGAGGUAAUGGCUGACCAAGGCGACGACGGGUAGCCGGCCUGAGAGGGUGAGCGGCCACACUGGGACUGAGACACGGACCAGACUCCUACGGGAGGCAGCAGUGGGGAAUAUUGCACAAUGGGCGAAAGCCUGAUGCAGCGACGCCGCGUGAGGGAUGACGGCCUUCGGGUUGUAAACCUCUUUCAGUAGGGAAGAACCGAAAGUGACGGUAACUGCAGAAGAAGCGCCGGCUAACUACGUGCCAGCAGCCGCGGUAAUACGUAGGGCGCAAGCGUUAUCCGGAUCUAUUGGGCGUAAAGAGCUCGUAGGCGGUUUGUCGCGUCUGCCGUGAAAGUCCGAGGCUCAACCUCGGAUCUGCGGUGGGUACGGGCAGACUAGAGUGAUGUAGGGGAGACUGGAAUUCCUGGUGUAGCGGUGAAAUGCGCAGAUAUCAGGAGGAACACCGAUGGCGAAGGCAGGUCUCUGGGCAUUUACUGACACUGAGGAGCGAAAGCAUGUGGAGCGAACAGGAUUAGAUACCCUGGUAGUCCAUGCCGUAAACGUUGGGCACUAGGUGUGGGGGACAUUCCACGUUUUCCGCGCCGUAGCUAACGCAUUAAGUGCCCCGCCUGGGGAGUACGGCCGCAAGAAUAAAACUCAAAGGAAUUGACGGGGGCCCGCACAAGCGGCGGAGCAUGCGGAUUAAUUCGAUGCAACGCGAAGAACCUUACCAAGGCUUGACAUGUGCCAGACCGCCUCAGAGAUGGGGUUUCCCUUCGGGGCUGGUUCACAGGUGGUGCAUGGUUGUCGUCAGCUCGUGUCGUGAGAUAUUGGGUUAAGUCGCGCAACGAGCGCAACCCUCGUUUAACUUUGCCAGCACGUAGGGUGGGGACUCAUGGGAGACUGCCGGGGUCAACUCGGAGGAAGGUGGGGAUGACGUCAAAUCAUCAUGCCCCUUAUGUCUUGNGAUUCACGCAUGCGCCAAUGGCCGGUACAAUGGGUUGCGAUACUGUGAGGUGGAGCUAAUCCCCUAAAGCCGGUCUCAGUUCGGAUUGGGGUCUGCAACUCGAAUCCAUGAAGUCNGAGUCGCUAGUAAUCGCAGAUCAGCAACGCUGCGGUGAAU
rnacentral:rRNA from 1 species